UAAGUUCUGAUUGCAGAUGGCUAGUUGUUAUUCUGUGGGGUUUGUUUACUUGUUUUUGAUUUUAGACUUAUUUUAUAUUUAUGAUUCUGUUUGGCACACAUACAUGUAGCUAUGUGUGCCAUAAGUGUGCCUGGUACCCACACAGAUAAGAUGAGAGCAUCAGAUCCCAUGGAGCUGGAGUUAGGAAUGCUUGUGAACCACCAUGUAGGUGCCGGACACUGACCUGGAUCCUCCUCCACAAGGACCGUCUUGGCUGCUGAGACAGCUCCGGUCCCUGUUCUGUGGUUUCUACUAUGUAGACAUUGUGUCAAUACUUUCUCACUUGCUUUACUUCUCUAGGGAACAGAUUUUAAGAGUAAAAGAAGAUGAGAAUGUCCCAUUUCUCCUGGUUGGUAACAAAUCAGAUUUAGAAGAUAAAAGGCAGGUUUCUGUAGAAGAGGCAAAAAACAGAGCUGACCAGUGGAACGUUAACUAUGUGGAGACGUCUGCUAAAACGCGCGCCAACGUUGACAAGGUAUUUUUUGAUUUAAUGAGGGAAAUACGAGCCAGAAAGAUGGAAGACAGCAAAGAAAAAAAUGGAAAAA
rnacentral:lncRNA from 1 species